GCGCACCAGGCGAGAAACCUUCGCAAUGCGGGAAACCGCGACGAGGGGACUCCCAGUGCCUACGCUCAGCGUAGGCUGUUCCCGAGCCUAGAAAGCUCGGGGAGUAAGGGCUGGGUAAGACGGGUGCCAGCCGCCGCGGUAAUACCCGCAGCCCGAGUGGUGGCCACUAUUAUUGGGCCUAAAGCGUCCGUAGCCGGCCCGGUAAAUGCCUGGGUAAAUCGUGAGGCCUAACCUCACGAAUUCCGGGUAGACUGCCGGGCUAGGGACCGGAGGAGGGAGAGGGUACUCCAGGGGUAGGGGUGAAAUCCUGUAAUCCCUGGAGGACCACCGGUGGCGAAGGCGCUCUCCUAGGACGGGUCCGACGGUGAGGGACGAAAGCCAGGGGAGCGAACCGGAUUAGAUACCCGUGUAGU
rnacentral:rRNA from 1 species